AUUUAAGUAGUUUAUAAAAAAUAAAGAAUUGUGGUUUCUUGGAAACUUUUGAGUCUUAAGUU
rnacentral:tRNA from 1 species